rnacentral:rRNA from 1 species
GGCCAGACUCCUACGGGAGGCAGCAGUGGGGAAUAUUGCACAAUGGGGGAAACCCUGAUGCAGCGACGCCGCGUGAGUGAAGAAGUAUUUCGGUAUGUAAAGCUCUAUCAGCAGGAAAGAAAAUGACGGUACCUGACUAAGAAGCCCCGGCUAACUACGUGCCAGCAGCCGCGGUAAUACGUAGGGGGCAAGCGUUAUCCGGAUUUACUGGGUGUAAAGGGAGCGUAGACGGUGAAGCAAGUCUGAAGUGAAAGGCGGGGGCUCAACCCCCGGACUGCUUUGGAAACUGUUUGACUGGAGUGCAGGAGAGGUAAGUGGAAUUCCUAGUGUAGCGGUGAAAUGCGUAGAUAUUAGGAGGAACACCAGUGGCGAAGGCGGCUUACUGGACGGCAACAGACGCUGAGGCUCGAAAGCGUGGGGAGCAAACAGGAUUAGAUACCCCCGUACUC